AACCAGACACACCUAUUACCACCUACAUUUAUUGUCAAACGGUUUUUCGCCUAGAGGAAAUAACAUUUCAGCAAUUUUCUAUAUUGUCAAUUUUGACAAAAAAUAUAUUUGACAAUUACAAUUAGUUUUAAAGCAAUGUCGUGGAUAUUUUGAACGUUCAGCAUACUUUCGCUGUACGAUGGUUAUACUAAAACGUGUACCUCAAUUUCAAAGAAUUCGUUUGGAUAGUCAUUCAAAUACAGAAUAUUGAAGGUACAGUUAUAUGAAGACCAUAACAAAACGUAAAUAGACAAUUUAUCAAAAGAGGCGGAAAAGACUGCAAGUGCAAUGUAACCAGCAACAGAGGAAAAUACCCGUUACGAACAUCCAAUAUUUAAUGAAAAAAUAUGGAGAAACAAGGAUAUAGGCCAACUUCCAAUUUAUCCUCCAUGCCAACCAACGACUUCCUUAGUUCGUUUGAACUCUACCGUGACUACAACAGAUGUCAAAUCAACUUAGAAAAUUUCGCAUUAUUUUGAUGAACUGCGAACUUAAAAUACCCUCCAUUAUGUGUGGGAGUGUAUAAAUAAAACAAAUUAAAACUUUUCUCUUCAAAUUGAAAGCACAAAAAAUUUAAACAAACAUUAGAAAACAUCUGAUUGAAAUUUGUCCAGGAAGAAUUUGCAAACUCUCACUAAAAGAACUGUCAAAAUUUCUCUCUCCGAUCGCUCUUUUGCAGAACUUUUGGGUUAACAAACGACUUCCAGUAACAAUUGUUACAAAUCUUAGGGUAACCAGACACACCUAUUACCACCUACAUUUAUUGUCAAACGGUUUUUCGCCUAGAGGAAAUAACAUUUCAGCAAUUUUCUAUAUUGUCAAUUUUGACAAAAAAUAUAUUUGACAAUUACAAUUAGUUUUAAAGCAAUGUCGUGGAUAUUUUGAACGUUCAGCAUACUUUCGCUGUACGAUGGUUAUACUAAAACGUGUACCUCAAUUUCAAAGAAUUCGUUUGGAUAGUCAUUCAAAUACAGAAUAUUGAAGAUAUUUAGUAUUGCACUUAAUUACACAAAACUUAAACCAUAACGCAUAAUAUCUCCUUGUUUAUAUUCCCUCAUAUUGGACUUCAAACGUAACGAAAAAAGGUUAAGCUUUUCAAUUAUACCUAAGAUGGAGAAGUACAUGAGCAAACCACAAAUACCAAAACAAUUUACUAACAUCGGUUCCACUGUAUAACCCCGAAAUAAUAGAUUUUCUUUAAAAUAAAACGAUGUGACAUCUUUUAAAAAG